rnacentral:rRNA from 1 species
GUGACUGCCGGUGCAAGCCGGAGGAAGGUGGGGAUGACGUCAAAUCAUCAUGCCCCUUAUGACCUGGGCUACACACGUGCUACAAUGGAUAGUACAAAGGGUCGCGAAGCCGCGAGGUGGAGCUAAUCCCAUAAAACUAUUCUCAGUUCGGAUUGUAGGCUGCAACUCGCCUACAUGAAGCCGGAAUCGCUAGUAAUCGUGGAUCAGCAUGCCACGGUGAAUACGUUCCCGGGCCUUGUACACACCGCCCGUCACACCACGAGAGUUUGUAACACCCGAAGUCGGUAGGGUAACCUUUAUGGAGCCAGCCGCCGAAGGUGGGACAGAUAAUUGGGGUGAAGUCGUAACAAGGUAGCCGUAUCGGAAGGUGCGGCUGGAUCACCUCCUUUCUAAGGAA